rnacentral:rRNA from 1 species
AUACGGAGGAUCCGAGCGUUAUCCGGAUUUAUUGGGUUUAAAGGGAGCGUAGGCGGGAGAUCAAGUCAGCUGUGAAAUGUAGAUGCUCAACAUCUGCACUGCAGUUGAAACUGGUUUUCUUGAGUGCGUAAGGGGCAGGCGGAAUUCGUCGUGUAGCGGUGAAAUGCUCAGAUAUGACGAAGAACUCCGAUCGCGAAGGCAGCCUGCCGGGCCGCGACUGACGCUGAAGCUCGAAGGUGCGGGUAUCGAACAGGAUUAGAUACCCUGGUAGUCCGCACAGUAAACGAUGGAUACUCGCUGUCGGCGAUAUACGGUCGGUGGCCAAGCGAAGGCGUUAAGUAUCCCACCUGGGGAGUACGCCGGCAACGGUGAAACUCAAAGGAAUUGACGGGG